GUCCAGGGUAGCCUAGUGGACAUGGCAUCUGCCCAGUAAGCGGAACACUGUGGGUUCGAUUACCAUACCUGGACA